rnacentral:rRNA from 1 species
UACGGAGGGUGCAAGCGUUGUUCGGAUUUACUGGGCGUAAAGCGCGCGCAGGUGGGUGAACAAGUCGGAAGUGAAAUCUUGAGGCUCAACCUCGAGGCUGCUCCCGAAACUGUUCGCCUAGGGACUGGUAGAGGCUGGUAGAAUUCCCGGUGUAGCGGUGGAAUGCGUAGAGAUUGGAAAGAACACCGAUGGCGAAGGCACUUUACUGGGCUAUUACUAACACUCAGAGACGAAAGCUAGGGUAGCAAAUGGG